GUGCUUACGGCCGAGAGCCAAAUCACAACCACCCACCCACUUUCAAAUCCCAUAUUAAUAAACCACAUACACUCAAGUGUGUAAGGUCGCAUACAAGGAAGCCUGGUGCUUGCGGAUUGCCAAGGACCUCUCUACGACGCUAUUAACCACCCAUUUUUCGUCUAGUUUCUUCCCUAGCCUCGAGCUAGUAAAAAUGCCUUAUGGAUUGGUAACUAGGAUGGAUGUGCGCGUGGUCUCACUUAUGCUCGUGGAUGUCGCUUGUGUUUGUCUUUAAAUAAAGUGUAAACCUUUUAAGACAAUGUUUUAUGUUAACUCGCGAUGUAAACGCUAACUUAUGAUUUCAAAUUAUGGUAUUUGAAGUUAUU
rnacentral:lncRNA from 1 species